UGGGGAAUAUUGCACAAUGGGCGCAAGCCUGAUGCAGCCAUGCCGCGUGUAUGAAGAAGGCCUUCGGGUUGUAAAGUACUUACAGCGGGGAGGAAGGUGUUGAGGUUAAUAACCUCAGCAAUUGACGUUACCCGCAGAAGAAGCACCGGCUAACUCCGUGCCAGCAGCCGCGGUAAUACGGAGGGUGCAAGCGUUAAUCGGAAUUACUGGGCGUAAAGCGCACGCAGGCGGUCUGUCAAGUCGGAUGUGAAAUCCCCGGGCUCAACCUGGGAACUGCAUUCGAAACUGGCAGGCUAGAGUCUUGUAGAGGGGGGUAGAAUUCCAGGUGUAGCGGUGAAAUGCGUAGAGAUCUGGAGGAAUACCGGUGGCGAAGGCGGCCCCCUGGACAAAGACUGACGCUCAGGUGCGAAAGCGUGGGGAGCAAACA
rnacentral:rRNA from 1 species